rnacentral:rRNA from 1 species
GGUAGCGCCCUCCCGAAGGUUAAGCUACCUACUUCUUUUGCAACCCACUCCCAUGGUGUGACGGGCGGUGUGUACAAGGCCCGGGAACGUAUUCACCGCAACAUUCUGAUUUGCGAUUACUAGCGAUUCCGACUUCACGCAGUCGAGUUGCAGACUGCGAUCCGGACUACGAUAUGCUUUAAGAGAUCCGCUCACUGUCGCCAGCUUGCCUCCCUCUGUACAUACCAUUGUAGCACGUGUGUAGCCCUACUCGUAAGGGCCAUGAUGACUUGACAUCGUCCCCACCUUCCUCCGGUUUAUCACCGGCAGUCUCCCUAGAGUUCCCACCAUUACGUGCUGGCAACUAAGGAUAAGGGUUGCGCUCGUUGCGGGACUUAACCCAACAUUUCACAACACGAGCUGACGACAGCCAUGCAGCACCUGUCUUACGGUUCCCGAAGGCACAAACACAUCUCUGCGUUCUUCCGUAGAUGUCAAGAGUAGGUAAGGUUCUUCGCGUUGCGUCGAAUUAAACCACAUGCUCCACCGCUUGUGCGGGCCCCCGUCAAUUCAUUUGAGUUUUAAUCUUGCGACCGUACUCCCCAGGCGGUCUACUUAGUGCGUUAGCUGCGCUACUCACGGUACAAGACCACGAACAGCUAGUAGACAUCGUUUACGGCGUGGACUACCAGGGUAUCUAAUCCUGUUUGCUCCCCACGCUUUCGCACCUGAGCGUCAGUAUUGUGCCAGGGGGCCGCCUUCGCCACUGGUAUUCCUCCAAAUCUCUACGCAUUUCACCGCUACACUUGGAAUUCUACCCCCCUCUCACAUACUCUAGUUUGCCAGUUUUGAAUGCAAUUCCCAGGUUGAGCCCGGGGCUUUCACAUCCAACUUAACAAACCGCCUACGUGCGCUUUACGCCCAGUAAUUCCGAUUAACGCUUGCACCCUCCGUAUUACCGCGGCUGCUGGCACGGAGUUAGCCGGUGCUUCUUCUGCGAGUAACGUCAAAGAUA